UUAGUUUGCCUACCCAUGGUUUACUCCUUAGCCCUUUUCUAUAUAUUUGCAAACAUUCAGCUCAACACAUAGACCACAGAAGGUGAUGAUGUGACAAAUUGUGCUCAAUGCUGGUCCAUGAAAGAGGCAUAGGAUUACCUGUGCUCUUACCUUCACCCCACCUUCCCGCGUUAAGAGGGAAGUUCUGAUAAGGGAUUGUAAGCAGUUUCCGCUAAACGCGAUUACAACCCAAUCCUGGAUUUACGUACAAGCCAAACAAGCUAUAGCUUAGGGCCUCACUCUCUUGGGCCCCCCCAAAAAAUUUAAAGGAAAAAAACAACUGGAUGUACAUUUCC